UUUAGACAUACUUCAAAGUGGCCAUGUUAUACUUCUAAUGACUUUUUUUUUUUUGAAAGGUAGGGUUAAUAUUUUCCUAGGCUUGAACCUAGUACCUCAUGGUUAGAAGCUUCAAAUUAGACAUUUUGUUAACCAAGUGAACUAACCCCAACUUAUGCUUCUAAGACCAUCUUUAAUGGUAGUUUAAUGGGGAGUUUAAUCCCAUUAAACUCAAAAUUCUCAUUGUAGGUUAAUGACAUGGCACUCAAUAGAAUGGGGAGUUCAAUCCCCAUUGAACUCCACACUCUCUCUCCUCUCACACACAUAUAAAUGAUGUGGCAAUCCAUUAAAUUGUAUUGGGUUUAAUGGAGUGUAGAGUUUAAUAGGUAAAAUUGUAUUGUAAGUGGAAUGUACAUGUGGCAAUCCAUUGAACUCAUUUGAGUUCAAUGCAUUGAAGAUGGCCUAAUGACUAAUUGGUAUGUACUAUUACCACUUAGACAUAAUGGCAUUCUAAUAUUACAUGUAUAACAAUCAUAAAUGGCUUGAGAGGGAUCUUAGUUAGAGGAUCUGUGACUUCAGUGGGGAUUUUAUAAAUCUUAACAUCAUCUGUGUCAACAAUAACACAUGAGAUAAUAUUUCAUGAAAGUUUGCAUGAAUGUUGUCACAAAGAAUUUGAAUUGGACUUUAGUUACUGAUUGUGACUCUAUCGAUCCACAAUAAACUUCUUGAUCCAAACAACUUCCUUCGACGCAUCACAUGUUGCUUGGGACUUGAAGUAAUCAUAGUCAAUAUUUGAUGUUAAUGUUGUGUAACACAAUUCCUCAUUAAGGCCUUUUUUUGCUAAAAAUGUAUCUUUAGCACUUCAUAAGUAUUUCAUGAGUGUGGUAUUACAUGUUUUUAUCCGUGAAUUAUGCAAAUCUUCCAUCAUUUUGAUAUGAUUUUUACAACUUCAUUGAUAUAAAAGAGGACCUUGCCUGGGACUUAAAGUCGCCAUAGUCAAUUUGGAAGUUCAUGUUGUGUGACACGUCCUCAUCGAGACCAUUAUUUACUAAAAAUGUGUCUUUAGCACUUCAUAAGUACUUAGUGUGUUAGGUAUUAUAAGUUUUUAUCCUUGAAUUACAUAACUAGAAUGGAAUCAGUGCGCCUUUGGCGCUGUGGUUUUGGAAUUAAACUGCAUCACAGUUACGUAAGACUUAGACAUAGCAACAAAAUAUUUACAACAUCAGAUUUCUUGCAAAAGGACAGUUACAUACCAACAUAAUAUUCAUAGCAAAAGAUUACUUCCUUAAGGGUUGCAUAGGUACAUAUUGUUUAUUUAUAGUAGAACAUCACUAAAUAGAUAAACAUAUUACUUAUAAGGAUGUUUGUCUUCAGGGAGUUUCUUGAUUUGUUGUUUGAGAUUGUUGAUAAGGACGUCAUAUUUUUCCUGCAUUUCAUGAAUGGUGUUGGUCAUUUUUGAUGUCUCGUAGUGGUUGUCAAGCAACACAUGUUACGUAGUGUUUGAACAUCAACGUCGUCACCGUGAUUUGUUAUGUAUAGUCGGAUAUUUUUGUCAAUUGUGAAACUUUCUUCUAACCUCGAUUGAGUUGCUUCAAGUAUGUCUGCAAUUUCUCUAAGGAAGUCGAUCAUAAUCAUCAAAGUGUUAUUGAAAUAUGUACUAUUCAUUUUGAUAUUUAUGAUGCGAUGUGGUUUAAAUUUAGUUUUCAAAGUUACAAUUUAUAUGUGUGGUAUAUUGUCAUUUUGUGCAUGUAGAUAAUGUAAGUUAUAGUUAUAGACAUCCAUGUGUGAUGUUUUCCUGUUUGUAGCAUUGCUUAUUGAUUAAUUGCAAAGUAAUCGAGAAUAGUACGUGGCUUGUUAUGCAGUGGGUUGGUAACAAAUGUUAUAGUAGGUUACAGUUGAAGAUUAUUAUUAUAUGAUGACAACUUUAAGUAAGUAAAAAACAAUAAUAGUAAAUAAAAUUUAUAAAAACUUAUAAACGUGUGUGUGGUUAGUUACAUAGAAAAAUUUAGUUGGAAUAUUACUUUCAUGUUUUCUAAUAAUAUUUUUUUAUUUAGGUCAUAUUAAUUUAGUUUAUAUGAAUAUGUAAAAAAAAUUUAACUGACUCUUACUGUGAUGUUGUAUAAAUAUAUAUUUUUGCUUUACUUAAAAUCAAUUACGUUUUUUUUUUAUUAUUUUAUAGAAAAGGUGAACAGUAAGCUGUUAUAGGUUGUAGUUGAUAAGAUAUUAAUAAAGAAAAGAAACAGAAGGCAAGAUAUGUGCCCCAAAAUGAAAAGGCGAAGACUCCCAUGUGCAAUGAAGAAAGAGAAGAAAAUAUAUUGUUCACGAAAGUUUUAAGCUUUUAUGUUAUAUAUAAUUCCACGGGAAGGCAUGAUUGACUUGGGCCACGACCCAUAUCAUCAUUCUAAAGGGGCAGUUGUUUUGGGUCAAAACUAGUUCCUUCCGUUCCAAAAUUAUUGUCAACCUUACUAUUUUAGUUUGUUCCAAAAUUACUGUCCACUACUACCAAAAGUAGAUAUACAUUUUUACCAUAUUACCCCUAACAUUUAAUAAAGUAAACUUCAAUAAUUACAAAUGCACAUUUCCUAUUGUUUUUAGAAAAUGGCAAGAUGAUCAUUUUACUCAAAAAGACAAAACUAAUGAUUUUUUUUCUUAAUCUUUGUAUUUUUUUUCUGUGGACAAUAAUUUUGGGACGGAGGGAGUAUGAAUCUGGACUUGAAAUUUUGUCUUCAAUCUUCACCUGAUCGUAACUCAACGUCGUCACAGCAUGAUGAUCAAAUAUGGGAAAGAUGUCCAAUAUUUGUCUAUUUUUAUAUCUAUGUAUCUUCCAAGUAUUUCUUCAUAGGCAUGCUACUUUAGGACACAAAAAUAUGUCCACAUUAUACUCUGACAUGCUCAAAAUACAUACAACAGCAAGAAAACAGACCUUGAUAUUUUUCAUUAGUAAUCUGAAGAAAUUGGUUUAUUGUCAUAAUCAGAUUUAUAGUAGAAUUUAAUAAAAUGAGGCAUUUUCAUUAUUCUGAAACAUAUGUAAAUGGUAGCAAAACUGGAAUUGAUAUCUUUUCAAUUGUUGAUCUAAUAUUAUCAAGUAAAGCUUUAGAGGUACCUUGAUGAACAAACCAAGUUGAAAAUGAAGGUUGAUGAUGUUGAUUGUUGAAUGCAUAAAAUGAGGAACAAAAAUAUCCACUGUGAAAAGAUGUUAGAUGUUAUGGAAAUUGAGAAUUCAGGCAAAAUAUCAAGCACAAAGUGUGUAUCUGUGAUACAAAUUUGCAGACAAAACUUAUACAAUAAAGACCAACAAUAAUCAUACCAUAAGAUCCGAGUGAAUGGAUUUAUGAAUAUCUUUAGCUCAUUUUUUGUUACUUUGAAAUUGGGACCCACCCACAAAAUAAAAAAAUAAAAAAAGAUGACUGUCUCAAGGCAAGGUACAGACAGGUGUAUGGUCUUUAGGCUUGUACUUGCCAAGCAAUUCAUCGAUGCUUCUGCAACGACAUUGAUUCCCUGGACGAAUUACAUCGCCAUAAACUGCCAUUUCAAUGAUGUCCAACUCCUUUUCUGUAAACCAUAUCAUGUCAUUGUUACUAGAUACAGUCAGUUAACUUUGUAUAAAAUAAGCAUUUUUUCCUUGGAUAUUAUCUCAACACAUUUCAAUUCAUGAUCAAUGUGGGGGGAUGUGAGGGAGAAGAAAUACCAGUGAAGUUGAUAUCACAAGAGUAACCACGCAACUGUGUCUUGUCAAGAUGAUCCUUGUCCGACUUGGUUCUAUUUACCCUCGUUUGAAGAAUCUGACAAUUUUCAACUACCGAUUCACCACCUACAAAAUCAAUCACACAAUUUUAGCUUCUACAAAUUUUGAUGGAUUUUCUUCCACAACUCCCUAAGCAUCAAAGGCUAUGCAUCACAACAGCGGAUCAAUAUUUGAGAAGCUUACAGAGUUAGUUGUAAAGACCUUUCGAGAAGGGGAUGAUGUGAUCGUAUUCAAAGCAGAGACAUCCCUGACAGUUGCCGAAGCGCUUACAGACGACGUUGCCCGCGGCAUCUUUACGCCAUCGCUCCGGGUGUCUUCCAGGGACAAUCUCGGCUUUGGCCCAGCACAGUUUUUUGGUCAUGGAGUCAAAGAAUCUCGGUCUCUCCUCCUUCCCGUUGUUACUAUUAUCGCCACCGCCACGAUGCCGCUGCGGCGAUGAGGGGGCAGGAGAACUAGAGCUCAUGUUGCCUCUCUCCGGCCUCUCCUCUAUGAAAUUGGAGGGGACUGCUGAAAUUGGGAUGGAAGGUGUUCGAAUAAAUGCCCCAAAGAACUCCUUUUCUUUCGAGGGGCAACAAUGCAUCAUUGCAUAAUUAUGCAGCCACGAGUAAAUUACAUUUUCGGUCCUUCAGUAUAGUUUAGUUUUCCAAUUUUGGUUUUUAAAUUCUUAAAAUUUUUACUUUUGGUCCUCAAUUUUAAGAUUUUUGGUCCAUUUUGGUCCUCAUUCGGGGUUUUCUUUUAUGUAAAAGCUUUGUACUUCUCUUGAUAAAACGCAAACUCAAUGUUUCUAUGAUUUGUGCAAAUAUUUAACUUGUAGAUAGAUCAAUUUAUUUGCCAAAGCAUUCAACAUCAAUUACCAAAAAUAAUGGCCUUCAAUUUUAGCAGCUCAAAACGAAAUUGGAACUACAAAUUUAACUAAAAAAAGCCCAAGAAAAUAAACAUUGCUCUCGAAAACACGAGGGAAAUGAAUCGUAAUAAAACCAUCACACAAUAAUUAUUUAAUCAUACUAAAUAUACACAUUCGAAUUGAGUAACAUUUAUUUACUCAAAGUACGAUAUUCUUUUAAUAUAUGACUAGUUUAACCAGAAACUUUAUGUAAAUGUGCACAAGCAUCAAGAAACUUCAAAACCGACUCAACAAGCUCUGCAAAUUUACCACACGCUACAGUAGUAUCCAAAACUAGCUUCGGCACAUCCCCUACAUCAUAAUCGGUGCAUCCGUUAUAACCCUCCAACAACCUUUCCAUAUCCCGCCAUGUGGCGGGCUUAUGCCAACUGCCACCACAACCGUCUUUCCCUCUAUUCUCAAGCCGACGACGCCACUCACUCUCGUCUUUCGGCUUGCACUCAACCACAACAAGCUGAGAGCCGUCAAAAGAAUCGGNNNNNNNNNNNNNNNNNNNNNNNNNNNNNNNNNNNNNNNNNNNNNNNNNNNNNNNNNNNNNNNNNNNNNNNNNNNNNNNNNNNNNNNNNNNNNNNNNNNNNNNNNNNNNNNNNNNUUCAACUAGCCGAUCCAGAUGACUCUUGCGGGAAAGAGGCGAGUCAAUGACAACACUCAGGCCAAGACUGAGUUGGGUCUCGACCAUUCGCCAAAGUACUUGAUAAGAAAGAUCAUUAAGGAGUUUAGAAACAGUGUGUGACUCCACUACUUCUGCUUCGAUAGCAGAAGUGGAGUCACGUAUGUCGUCUUUGUCAAGGAGCGGGCAUCUUAAUGAUGCGGCUAUGAAGCGGGCAAGCGUUGUUUUGCCCGUGCCUGGGUGUCCCUUCAUUGCUACUAUGACUCUUCUCGGUCGACCUUCUUCGUGUUCCAUUGGAGAUUAAUUUAAUUUCUAUUGUUAUAUAGAUUCAGUGUACUAUUUUCCUUUAGCACGAAUAGUUGGGGAUUUUAUAGGGGCGAGGUGAAUGUUACAUGUCCUUUUCCGCUCAUCUCAGAUAGUUUUCUUUAUAGAUAAAAAAUACAUUUAUUUACUUUUUUUUUUUUAAUUCCAUCUUAUUUCCCUAGCUUCGGUGAAUAAAUAUCAGAAUAAUUUCUCGUUUUCUUAAUCUUCGGAUAAGGUGACGAGGUGACAAGAGAAUCUUGACGUUUUGUGAAAGGAGUUUGACAAGUGUUGUUAAUGAUAAGCUUUGCCAGGUCAGAACGAUGGUGACAAAGAUUAAUAUGAAUAUUUACAAAAUUGGUCAUUGAUUUAUAGGAUAUUUUUCACAAUAAACCCACAACUAUCAACUCUAACACCUUGGUCCUCACUAUAUUUGAAGUUCGUAAUGCACUUGGAAGCUAGUCAUCGACGAUUGUAAAAGAAAUUCACAGGAGUUAAAGAACAGAAAUAAGCAAAUAGAGAAAUCAGAACCCGGAUCUAAAGGACUUGAAUUUGGGUUUUUUUCUUUGUGUCAUGUCUUACCGGUGAUUAUGGGUCUGUUUGGGUAUGGCCCUUAUUUUAGAUUUUUCAUAUUGUUAUCAAAUUUUAAUACUAAUAAAUCAAAAGGAUGCAUUUAUAUAGCUUCUAUGUUAUUUAUUGUAAUUUAAAUAUUCAAUAGUUGAGAUAUAACAAGGUAAUACUUUAGCAAUUAUAUAAAAAACAAAAUAAAUAAAUAAAACCAUAGGGGUUUUAUUUAACUUUGCAUCUCUACUUCACGGGUUAGGUUUUUUCUUUGUAUCAGCUGUUGAGUGAAAAGAAACAGUUAUACAAAUUUGAAUGCAUUAAGUCACUUAUCACAUAUGAUAUGCUAAGCUGGUGUUUCUUUGACGUAAUGGGCUAAACUAAAAAAGAAACAGCAGCUAAGCUAGUAUUUCUUUUCUAACNUAUAGGUGUUGCUUAUCUUUAGCUUAACAUAUAAACCAUGUCUUAGUGGGUUAAAUUAAAAAAAUCUGACUUUUUAUGAAUUCAAAAUAAGAAUUUCUAAACCAAAUAAUCCAAAAUAGUAACAUAAGAAUUUCUUUUUCAGACCAAAUAAUCCAAAAUAACAAGAGGAGGUAAAAAUACUUUAUGUUCAUGGUACCCAAACAUAACAGUCAAACAGUAAUACGAAACCCAGGUGGUAGAGUAGAUUGCUACUAUUAUAACAGAAAACAUUCUGCUGAUAAUGCAAGCAACAAGUGUUUAUGGAUUCAUUUAUAGACUUAGUAGAAGUAGAUUACUACUUUGGGCCGAUAUCCUUAAGAGCACAGAUCUGCUCCUCUCCCAUUGCUGACAUCACACUCACCACCAAGUCCUUUCCCUCUGCAAAUCCAUCCUUGAUCUACAAUUCAUCCAUAUAAAAAAAAAAAAAAACACUUCCUUCAAAUCUUCAAAAACAUUUAUAUAUCUAUAUUAAUACAAUCACACAUCAUAACCACAUACCUGAGUCAGGAGAGCAUCAUCAGUUGGGAGCUUGAGGUCAUCUUUAGUGUUUCCAUUUUCAGUCAGCAAACUCACCUAACAGAUUUUCUUUUUUAUCAGUUCCUAUUAUCAUAACUUGAACAAAAAAUACCAAUUAACAAAGCUUGAAUAGAAUGAACCAUACAAAUCCAUCCUCAGAAAUAUCAAUUAGCUGGUAGUCAGUGCGGUUGACAUGAGGAACCUGCAAACAGAUAUUUUAUAAAAAAAAAAAAAGAAGUUAAUUUUAUAAAAGAGACAAAAAGACUGAAAAAAAAAGUGGAUUGAUUACUCACAUCACAGUUAUGGGAUGAGGGAACAAUAUCUUCAAGCUUUUUACCAUUGAAGAUAUCAAUGGCGACAAAGUGACACUUAGCAUGCCCAUGCUUCCCAGUCUUGGAGGUAGAAACUUCAACAACCUGUUACAAUUUAAUGCAUUAAACACAAAAUUUCUAACAAGAUAACAUACUACACGGUUAUAUUAAUCAUUGAGUAAGAUCAGACUCUCAAGAUAUCACCAUACAGCAAUUACCAAUCAGUGAACAAUUGAUACAACCCACAAGAACAAAGAGAUUCAAUGAAAUAGAUCUAGGUCAUAUAACCUAUGGUCAACUCUAAUAGCCCUUACUGUAGCUUCUAAUGAAAAGCUAAAUGCUUUGACACGAAAAUAUCAAAAUAUCGGAAUCAUAGCCACUUUCAACCAAAAAACUCAAACUGAAAUUUCGCAAUAAUCAGACGCACAUCCAAACAUUCCUUGAAUCUAAUAUACACAAAAAGUGAAACCCUAACACUCGAAGUCAAAACCAAAUCAACUCAAACCAGAUGAAGAUAUUAACACGGAAUAGAGAAAAGGAUUCCGCUAAGCGAGAUCA
rnacentral:lncRNA from 1 species